GUUAGGGUUAGUGCUGAUGGGUUAGAUUAGGGUUAGUGCUGAUGGGUUAGGGUUAGUGCUGAUGGGUUAGAUUAGGGUUAUGCUGAUGGGUUAGAGUUAGGGUUAGUGCUGAUGGGUUAGAUUAGGGUUAGUGCUGAUGGAUUAGUGCUGAUGGGUUAGAGUUAGGGUUAGUGCUGAUGGGUUAGAUUAGGGUUAGUGCUGAUGGGUUAGGGUUAGUGCUGAUGGGCUAGAUUAGGGUUAGUGCUGAUGUGUUAGAUUAGAGUUAGUGCUGAUGUGUUAGAUUAGGGUUAGUGCUGAUGGGUUAGGGUUAGUACUGAUGGGUUAGAUUAGGGUUAUGCUGAUGGGUUAGGGUUAGUGCUGAUGGGCUAGAUUAGGGUUA